rnacentral:rRNA from 1 species
UACGAAGGGGGCUAUCGUUGUUCGGAAUCACUGGGCGUAAAGCGCACGUAGGCGGAUGUGUCAGUCAGGGGUGAAAUCCCGGGGCUCAACCUCGGAACUGCCUCUGAUACAGCACGUCUUGAGUCCGGAAGAGGUGGGUGGAAUUCCUAGUGUAGAGGUGAAAUUCGUAGAUAUUAGGAAGAACACCGGUGGCGAAGGCGACCCACUGGUCCGGUACUGACGCUGAGGUGCGAAAGCGUGGGGAGAAAACAGG